UCACGGUGGAUGAAGUGGAAACAUCAAAACACUAACAUUAGACCUGAUCCUAGAACCGAAGGCUAGGAGGCAAGAGGAGGCAACAUUACUAAGUUUGGAGAGAGACAGUGCAACAAAACAGCCAACUGGACUCCUGUCCUUUUGAGACAGGGUCUUUCUGUGUAGCCAGUCACUAAAUGGCGUCACCCAUCCACAAGCAUGAUGAGCCAUUAGCUGCAGUGAAGACCUCACACUAAGAAAUGCUGAAAACACAGAACCCUACCAUCAAAAUGCUAUAUUGAAGAUGAUCAAUAAAAUUGGUGGAUGGGAUGUCCUUCUA
rnacentral:lncRNA from 1 species